rnacentral:tRNA from 1 species
UCCCUGGCAGUCCAGUGGUUAAGAAUCUGCACUUCAAGUGCAGAAGGUGUAGGUUCAAUCCCUGGCCAGGAAA